AUUGAACGCUGGCGGCAGGCCUAACACAUGCAAGUCGAACGGUAACAGGAAGCAGCUUGCUGCUUCGCUGACGAGUGGCGGACGGGUGAGUAAUGUCUGGGAAGCUGCCUGAUGGAGGGGGAUAACUACUGGAAACGGUAGCUAAUACCGCAUAAUGUCGCAAGACCAAAUAGGGGGACCUUCGGGCCUCUUGCCAUCGGAUGUGCCCAGAUGGGAUUAGCUUGUUGGUGGGGUAACGGCUCACCAAGGCGACGAUCCCUAGCUGGUCUGAGAGGAUGAACAGCCACACUGGAACUGAGACACGGUCCAGACUCCUAGGGGAGGCAGCAGUGGGGAAUAUUGCACAAUGGGCGCAAGCCUGAUGCAGCCAUGCCGCGUGUAUGAAGAAGGCCUUCGGGUUGUAAAGUACUUUCAGCGGGGAGGAAGGGAGUAAAGUUAAUACCUUUGCUCAUUGACGUUACCCGCAGAAGAAGCACCGGCUAACUCCGUG
rnacentral:rRNA from 1 species